rnacentral:lncRNA from 1 species
GCAAGAUUAGACGAUGGGUUGGGUUGGGUCUUAAUGUGAGACAUCUUACUAAAUUUAAACGUUCUUUGUAGCCACUUUUUUUUAAAGUAAAAAAGAACCAGAUUUAAUUCAUGAUACUUUAUUUCAUCCUAUAUACCGAAAAUAUUAUCAUUUCAAUAUGUGAUCAUUGUAUUUAAAUGAUGAAUGAGCCAGUUCACAUUCUUUUUUUCAUAGUCUUCUUUACAAUGGAGUGUGUAUUUCCCACUUGGAAAACAUCUUGGUCUGGCCUGGCCACACUGCAGGCGCUCAGCAGCCUCUUGAGGCCAUGGCUGCCCCAGUGAGUAGCACAGCUGCAGAGGCCCAGGAAAACCAACCCAGGUGCGUGGGUGUUCACUGCCUUCCUUUACCCACUCCAGGCAGUUGCAUCCACCUUUCCGCCUCAUUUCCUCACCCAGUAUGCAACUGCGGAACAGCCUUUUCUCAGCAACCUGACAGAAUAGCUGUGUGCUGGGUUUCGGAAAUCAUAAAAAUGACCACAGAUAUGCAUUCGGAAAGAGGGCUGAAAACUCCUCAAGGCCCAAACGGUCUUGCUAUAUUGUCCAGGCUGGAUUUGAAUUCCUGGGCUCAAGCGAUCCUCCUACAGGUAGCUGAGACUACAGACAUGCACCAGUGCACCCAGGAGAUAUGCAUUUCUUAACAAAGGUGAUAAUGCUGUGCCAUAAAGUACAUAGUACAUUGACAAUUACAACUUGUUUACUUGUUUGUUUAAGAAAGCAUGGACUUAAUUCGAAUUGCUCACUUACCAAAGUAUUAACUUUAGGUCCACCACAGGGAUACAAGAAAAUGUUCUUUGUUACCCUAAAAAGUUGCCAAUUAAAGUUGCAUUUCAGCUCUUUUCUCCAAGGAGUUUUCUGAUAGCUGAUAGGAACAUAUUCUGAAGUCAGGCAAGCUGAGCAUUCCUAAUAACUCUGCCACCUAAUCAGAGCCACUGAGCCACCACCUCCAGUUGCACAACAGAGUCACACUUCUGCCUAAGAAACUGAUGAUCUCUGAAUAUGCAGGAGCAGUGAUUUACCACAGGACGCUUUCAAGGGGCAAAUGCACUUUCCCCCCAACCGCUAGGAUUUGCACUGUCAUGGCUGCCCUGGGGAAUGCCUCAAGCCUGGGGGCAAAUUUCACCCACUCCUAGAUUCUCUCUGUCCUGUAGCCACAAAGACAGAACUUGUUCUGCUUCCUGUGGUCGGUGUCCCAUCUGCUGAACACACAUUUUAAUACAUAAACUCUAUUUCCAGGAAUAAUACCUAUUGGUAUUAACAAGAAAAUAGCAUCUCUACAAGACUCCGUGAAAAGAAACGCUGUCAGUGCCACUCAUUCUACCUUCAAAGACAAGUCCCUGUAAUUACUUUCUCCUUAUUUCCUUGUCUGACUAAAGCAACAAGAUCAAAAGAACCUAUCCUUUUUCACCAGAUACCCUUCCAAAAUGUGCGUUUGCUUUGCUGUCUGGGAUCAGAAAUUUCAUUAUCUGUAUUUGUAUUAGUAAUUCACUGCACAAAGAGAACAGAGGGCAGAGAAGGAGGGCACGAAGGGAAGCAAACAUCAGGCAGACAAUUGUAUAUAUGCAAAUGCUUGCAAAUUUCUGCCAGCACCUCCCUAUCUACAACCAAGCAACAUGGAAGUCUAUUCAUCCCUCCAGCUUCUUUGCUGCCAAAUAUGGUUGUGGUUUUGAGGAAAAUAUCCAGAAAAUGUUGAACUUUCAGCCAUGACGACUAAAUCUAACUCAAAACCUACAACAUAAAAGGCUAAUGCAUCAAUAAAGUCAGUGAUUUUCUAGAAAGACACGGGAUAUGCAACAUCCUGACUACAAAGGAUGAAAAAUAAGAUUGGCUUGCGAGGUCGGUGGGGGAAGGAAGGGAAUGGUUGCAUGCCACUCUCCAACCCAAUUGACAGAGAACUGAAAUGUUGCCUUUUGUCUGUCUGGGGUUGUACAUUUGCAUAAAUAUCCUAAGUAAGAAGGGGUAUAAACAAAAUGCCCGAAAUUCAAAUUUAUAAAUGCAAGCUCAUUUUCAAAUAUAUAUGCUUAGUGUUUGAAAAUGACAACAAGCAUCAUCAUGUAUUUUGUUUUGUCUUGAAAUCAAUUAUUCCCAAACAAUAAUGGUUUAUCAGGAUUUUUCAUGACUUCCUUUAUUUGUUGAUAUUUAUUCUACCCACGCAAAUCAGUGAUAAUGGUAAUAAUUCACACCUUACAUGUCUUUCACAUAUAAUAAUUCAGUGCAUCCUUAAAAUUAUGCUUUGAGGGAGAGUCAGUAUUACACCCAUUUUACAGGCAAACAAACCAAGGCUCCAAAGUUUAGAGAGUUACUCAAAUUUACACAGCUAUCAAAUUAGUAACUGGCAGGACUGGAAUUCAAACACUCAUACUUGACUCUAAAUCCCAAGUACCUCUAACACCAUAAUUCUGUGCAAUAUUCCCAAAGAUGUAAUGGCUUCAGCCAUAUUUUACCCCUCAGCAGCAUCUGACCCUGCCAGCUGUGCUGCUCUGUCUGCUUUCCUUAUUCUUGAGGAUCGCUCUUUGAUCGGGUUUCUGCCACUUAGAUUGUGUCAGUCAUUUCCAGGGUCUCCUCUUCCCAGGUCUUUUGUCUACCCUCCUCUAUCUCUGCCAUCACUGAGCAAUCUCACCCACUUCCACUCCUUCAUUCAUUCAUUCAUUCAUUCAACAAAUAUACUUUGAGCACCUCCUAUGUGGCAGGCACUAGUCUAGACAUGUGAGAUACUACCAUGAACAACGGCCUGUCUCCCUCCUCAGAUAAAGCUUAUAUUGUCGUGGGGAUGCGGAGGACAUCGAUAAAAACAAAUAAAGAUCUAUUUAGAUUCAGGUGAUUGAUGCUAUGAGAAUACAAAGCAGGGAGGAGAGAUGGGGAAGGUAAGGAAAAGGGAAUUAAGAAGGAGAUUGCAAUUUGGGGUGCAUGAAGGCCUCACUGAGAUAACAUUUGGGAAAGAUGUCCUUCAUCACUUCUCUCAGAAGAUUUCUAAAUGUUCCCCUCUACCUCUCACUCUAUUCCAACCUCACAUUUUUACCUCUGGGCACAUCAUCUCUUCCUGUACCCACAUCCUGGCUCCACCUGAAUUCAUCCUCCCCUUCUCUUCCUCCUGUACUUCCCACUCUCAUUAAUAGCACCACCAUUCUUUAUACCACGAAAUGCACCCAGUCAAGAAAUAUAUAAGGGGAACUUCUAAGUGAAUGCACUAUUGUAUUCUAGGUGCUAAGAGAAUGCAUUGGUUUUAUAAGAGCUAUUUUCUCCUUGAAAACCAUAUUGGGUAUUAGAAACAGAGCAGAUUCUGUGUUCAAUCCUACCUUUUCCAUUAAUUAGCAGUAGAUUUAUCUACACAAUGAGAAUAAUGGUACCCAUUUUCUAUUAAUGUUAAAGUAGUCCCCCCUCAUCCAGUGGUGUACAUUCCAAGACCCCCAGUGGAUGACUGAAACCUCAGAUAGUCUGAACUGCAUACAUACUAUGAUUUUUCCUAUAUGUGCAUACCUAUAAUAAUGUUUAAUUUAUAAAUUAGGCACACUAAGAAGUUAACAGCAAUAACUAAUUAUUGUUAUUGUUGUUAUAACAAUAUACUGUUAUAACGAUAUACUGUAAUACAAGUUGUGUGAAUGUGGCCUCCUUCUCAAAAUAUCUUCUUGUACUGUACUCACCAACUUUUGGACCACAGUGGAUAGCCCAUGACUGAGACCUCAGAAAGCAACUGGGGGAGCUAAUAAGGAUUCAAUGCAACUGCACAGCUAAAGUCAGCAAGUGAGCACAUGAAUGAAUAAAUUAGUGAAUGAUAUGUUUACUGCAGUGCUUGACAUGGGGAGUAUCUGACAGGUUUAAAGGACGUCAUGAGGACCCACUCCCUUCAUUUCUCAGCUCUAUUACCUUUGAUGUGGGCUCCAUCUUCAAGCAGUGGCAAUAUGAGCUUCCCAGAGUUCCAGGCUUUCAUCCUAUCCAGCCACCCCAGAGGACGAAAGAGUUCUUUUCUCAACAGUAGCACAAAACUCAUUUGUUUUGACUGGGCAUGUGACCACUUCUGAACCAUUCAUUACUUGGGCCAAUCAGAAAAUACAAUUGCUCUGAUUGACUAGACUUAGGUUACAACCCCCUGUGGAGAUGUAGGUUGACUCAGGUUCACUCAAACCACUGGGAGUGAGAGUGGAGAGGGGUGGUCCCUGAGAAAUACCAAGUCUUGCAGGAAGAGAACGGAUAUUGGGCAGGUAAGACAAUGGAUGUCCACUACUCCCAACUGCGGCACCUGAUUCAUUCUGUCUUGCAUUAUAGUUAGAUGUUUUCAUGUAUGUCUGCCCUCAGAUUGAGAGCUUCCAUGAACAAGGGCUGAAGGUUUGCUAUCACCUAUCUGUUGGAGGACACAGCUCAAUCUUCUGAAUACUGCACAUGCUCAAUAAAUGUUUUUAACAUGAAUUGAUUCAUUACACUAGUGUAAACUAUUUCUUUUGCAUAUUUUAAGUUCUGUGAGUCUUGUUCUCUUCUUAUUACAUGGAAAUACAUAAAAUAUAAAAUACCACAUACACUUUAUAACACCUUAAAAGACAGGUUUCCAACAGCAGAAGCAAAUACACCAUCUUCAUAAUUUAGACAUAUAUGGACUUUCUCUCCUCUAAAAUCUUUAACUCAGCUAAGUUUACACAGGUGAGAAAAAGAGCAAGAGUGGUGGUGGUUUUCUAAGCCACUUCACUUUGCUAUUCUGUUUUCAUUCAGCAAAUGCUGCAUUUGCUGAAAAUUCGAGUGCAUAAGAUUUGCAAGACUUGCACUGCAGCCCACGCAAGGUAUCAUUAUUAACUGGGCAUCAGUCAGAUUUCACCACAGUGUAGAAAUGACCUUGGUCUUCCUCUGAACCACGUAAUUUCAACCUCUAUGGCCUUUUUCAAGGAUACCGCCUCAAAUUCUGUAAUCCCAAGUGUGGCAUUCUCUCAUUCUUCCUGGGUACACGGCUGCCCAACUAGAAACAUGUCCCAGCCUUGUUUGUGUCUGUGUGAACAUGCAACUGAGUUCUCACCAAGUGAUGUGAUGAUGUGUACGACCUCCAGAUCAUCUUCUUAAACAUGUCUAAGAUUUGAUUUUAAAUAAUGCAGUGAAGCAGUGGGGGGUGUAUUUGGGGGAUAUAAAUGAUACAAGUUUGACAUAUGAAGGUAGCUGUUUAAGCUCAGUGAUAGGACAUGGGAAUCUCUUAUACUGCAUCAUCCCUAUAUUUGUGUAUGUUUAAAAAUUUGUACUGAAAAAUAUGUUAUGCCAGGCAUGAUUGUUCAUGCCUGUAAUCCCAACACUUUGAGAGGCUGGGAUGGGAGGAUGCUUGAGCCCAGGAGUUUGAGAGCACCCUGGGCUCUCAAGACCCCCAUCUCUACAACACAUAAAAUUAGCUGAGCAUGGUGGCAUGCACCUGCGGUCCCAGGUACUCAGUAGGCUAAAAUGGGACGCUUGCUUGAG